rnacentral:rRNA from 1 species
GAUCAUGGCUCAGAUUGAACGCUGGCGGCAGGCUUAACACAUGCAAGUCGAACGGUAACAUAAAGAAGCUUGCUUCUUUGGUGACGAGUGGCGGACGGGUGAGUAAUGCUUGGGAAUCUAGCUUAUGGAGGGGGAUAACUAUGGGAAACUGUAGCUAAUACCGCGUAGAAUCGGGAGAUGAAAGUGUGGGACCUUCGGGCCACAUGCCAUAGGAUGAGCCCAAGUGGGAUUAGGUAGUUGGUGAGG